GGAGGAGGAAAGUCCCUUUUCUUUAAGGGCAUGACCCCAGGAAGGUCAACGGCACACCAGUGGGUGGACCCACACCCGUGAAUACGCGGCAGGCACAAACUAGACUCAAGGGUUAUAAAAAUAAUUUUUAAAGGAUAUGAAGUUAGCAGGGGGUGGGAGUAGACUUAGGAGUUCAGAGAGACGCAGGGAGUGAAUAUGAUCAAAAUACAUUGUGUGUGUGUGUUUCUCAAAAAAUUAAUAAAAACCAUUUUUUAAAGGGUCACCUCACAACCCUCCUCUCCUUUCAUUUCCAGAAGAUGAACUCCUUGCCGUCUCUUGACCAAAUCAAAGGAGCUCUGAAGUCCCUCUCCUACAUACCAUUUAGAUGUUAGAUGUGGCUGAAGUGGCUCUCAUUUCACAGAUGACAGCAAAGACCCAAAGAGGAAGCAGGUGCAGGGAGAGACAAGCAGUCUGAACUGGUACACAACAACGGCCCCACCCACAGUGAGUCUGUGAGGAUACAGGUAGGUAGGAGCGACAUAUGUUCCUCCAUAUGUCAGCCCACAAGUGGGCACACACCAGCUCACGAGCACAUGUGCACAUGUAUGCGCACGCGCACACGCACACACACACACACACACACACACUAUACCAUAUGAUAUGGCCUUCCUUAAAGUUGUUGUAUGGAGGUCAUGCCUCCCUUAAAGCCAGGAGUCUCGGGAUAGUCCUAUGCAGUAAUGCAGUAAUUCCCGGUUAUCUGGGCCUGACGCAGAGCAUGCUUACCAUCCCAUUUUUAAAAUCUCUGUUGCCAGCUCUUCCUUGAUUCUUGGUACAUGGAGCCUGUCAUUCACUUCCACAACAUUUGCUUUCACAGGCAAGGAAAUUGACAUCGCCCCAAGGUAAGUAGCUUGCCCAUGGUGGCUUGGCUAGCAGCUGCUGGAGUCGGCCAACCUGAGGCACUCACAUCUCUGGCCACCGUGCCUGUCUGCCUGAAGCAGAUCAUUUAAUCCAACUGCAACUUUGAGAGCUGGAUUUCCUUCAGUUCUACAAGUAACUGAGGCUGAGCGUUGGAAGCCUGGAUUCAACAGAAAGAUAGCUUAGAGCCAGCUCUGGACUGUGGAGGGAAUCUCAAAAACUGAACCUAUUGCUCGACACAGACUCUGACCUGGAAAGAAUUUUCCAAGCGUCACCCGGGAAGUUACUGUGGAGGGACACAGACCAGCUUGUGCUGCUUGAUGUCACAGGGGUGGCUCAAACCAGGACUGCCACCUGCUGAGAACUGAGCUGCGUUCCCUUGGGCCUUGGCAAGGAAGUACUAAUUUCUAAACUUCCCUGCCAGGCCACAGCCGGCAUGUAUGAUGAGAGAGAGAGAGAGAGAGAGAGAGAGAGAGAGAGAGAGAGAGAGAGAGAGAUGUUUGAAAUCAGAAGAAGGCGGGCCUCUGUGAUCCUAUAUCCAUCUUAAGAAAACGCUGAGGAGAGGGCCCUGCCAGGAGGUAGCCAGCCCUUACACCAGAGGCCACAGACAUGCAGUAUUGCAGGCAUCCGUUGGGUAGGAGCUCCACUUCAGGGUCUCCGCUGUGUAUUGAGGACUUGAGCAAGUCAAAGGCGUCAGCAGAAACGCUGAGGUCUCCGAGUAGUGGUUGAUGGCUGGGGCCAUCCCCCUCCCAGGAGCCAGGGUGACCUCAGCUCAUCGCCUUUGCACUGUUGUGGACGGUGGGGAGAACGGGACUGCAGCCAUGACUCAUCAGCCACACAGUUUGAGGGUGCCGGUGGUGCGCCUAGCCAGACAUACUGCCCUGGCACUCAGUGGCACCAGAGAGACAGGUGCCCUCGCAGGCCACAGAGAGCAGCCCAGCCCGGUCCCAGAAAGGGGAGCUCCCCGGAAAACAGACCAGUUGACGACACUGAGGCCUUCUUCCAUUUAUCUGCACACUGCAGACUGGGUGACAGGAUUCCUGAGUGACUGCUCUGGCUACCUCCCGACUCUGAGACUGAGACCUCGGCCUGAGAAGCUGGGUCUUCUCCACACUGCCCUGCCAUGGGCCCGGUGGCGUUUGUGUCCAGCCUGCUGGAGUGAGCGCCACUGGCCUCCCUCCUCAGCCCCUGCCAUUGCCGGUCCAGAGACAGCCCUCACCUCACCUCCCACAGCCUGGCAGGCUGGGCCAGAAUUGGUCUACCAAGGAAGCAGAGGACACAAGCCAAAAGGAAGUCGCACAAAGAUCAGCUUAAAAAUAACCCUCUCAUGUCAGUCAUGAGGAGGAGCUUACAGAGAAGCCAAGCUCCGAUACAGCCCACGGUAAGGUCAGAAAGCCCCCCCUCACUCCCCCCACUCCUCCCACCCCGUGGCAAAUCAGCAGAGGUGGGGCUUCCAGCCCCCACCUUCUUAUCAGCCUGGGCAAGCCACUGCCUGAACCUCUGCUGUCCUCAGAGACUUCCGCCCAGCCAGCAUCUGCUUCCUCUCCUAUAUUUAAAACCAGGAUCACUACGAAGGUCUUGGGAAACAAUGACCACUAUUAACUUUCACAUCUUCAGCCGCCGUUGGAAAAACAAACAAACAAAGCUGGAGCCAUCACUCUGACUUCCGCCCCAGCUUCAUCUCCUUUAGGCGUCAGGCUGUUUAUGGAAACCUGACAUGAAAUGGACUUGUGGCGGAGAAAGACUCUAGACCAGGAUGUAACUCUCAAUUACUUCUCCAGCACCAUGUCUGCCUGCCUGUUGCCAUACUUCCUGCCAUGAUGACAAUGGACUAACCCUCUGAAACUGCCCUUGAAAAGGAAGUCUUCUCCUCCUUGCCCCUUCCCAUGACCUGGAGUAGGAAAAACUGAUCCCUUGGGGACGAGCUAUGUUUAACCUGCCGAGAAAGCCUCUGGGAGCACAGCAAUGAUGUGAACACAAAACUAAGAGGCGGAGCUGAGCAUGGUGGUUCUUGCCCAGAGUUCCUGGCAUGACUUCCCAAAGAGGUGGAUUGUGACCUGGGAGUUUCAAGAUGAAAUAAACCCUUUUCUCUCUGAGUUGUUUUUGAUCAGUGUUGCAUCACAUCAGUAGAAAGCCAACAAGGACAACCCCUUUUCAAACAUCCACAAGGCCAUCUCUCUCAGCUUCCUGUUCAUGCUGCCAUGCCUGCUGCCCCACCUCUCCACUGUGGUGGCCCUUACCCCUCUAGGACUGUAUGUCCAAACACAUUUUCUAAACAGCCUUGGUCACAGUGUUUUAGUACAGCAACAGAAAAGGAACUAAUACACCUGCCAUACCUUCUCUUGUCCUCCAGUCUCAGACCAUCUCCUUCCAAAUUUUAUUACAUUGAUUUCUUUGUGUUUAUGCAUGUGUAUUUGUGUGUGUGUGUGUGUGUGUGUGUGUGUACACAUACACACAUGCAUGCCAUAGUGCUCAUAAGGAGGUGAGAGGCCAACCUGUGGAAGUUCAGUCUCUCUGUCCUCCAGGAUUGAGCUCAAGUCCUUGGGCUUGGGAUUAAGUACCUUUACCUAGUGAGCCAUCUAGCCAGCUCCUAUUUUACCAUAACUCACCCCCAUCUAUCAUUCUCGCCUCUGCCCCUCACCCAUCUCUCUAACAAGCCC